GAGGCAGGUAGCUGGGUCCAGGGGCAGGCAGAAGGUCAUACACAGGAGGAGGCAGGUAGCUGGGUCCAGGGGCAGGCAGAAGGUCAUACACAGGAGGAGGCAGGUAGCUGGGUCCAGGGGCAGGCAGAAGGUCAUACACAGGAGGAGGCAGGUAGCUGGGUCCAGGGACAGGCAGAAGGUCAUACACAGGAGGAGGCAGGUAGCUGGGUCCAGGGGCAGGCAGAAGGUCAUACACAGGAGGAGGCAGGUAGCUGGGUCCAGGGGCAGGCAGAAGGUCAUACACAGGAGGAGGCAGGUAGCUGGGUCCAGGGACAGGCAGAAGGUCAUACACAGGAGGAGGCAGGUAGCUGGGUCCAGGGACAGGUAGCUGGGUCCAGGGACAGGCAGAAGGUCAUACACAGGAGGAGGCAGGUAGCUGGGUCCAGGGACAGGUAGCUGGGUCCAGGGGCAGGCAGAAGGUCAUACACAGGAGGAGGCAGGUAGCUGGGUCCAGGGACAGGCAGAAGGUCAUACACAGGAGGAGGCAGGUAGCUGGGUCCAGGGACAGGCAGAAGGUCAUACACAGGAGGAGGCAGGUAGCUGGGUCCAGGGACAGGCAGAAGGUCAUACACAGGAGGAGGCAGGUAGCUGGGUCCAGGGACAGGCAGAAGGUCAUACACAGGAGGAGGCAGGUAGCUGGGUCCAGGGGCAGGCAGAAGGUCAUACACAGGAGGAGGCAGGUAGCUGGGUCCAGGGGCAGGCAGAAGGUCAUACACAGGAGGAGGCAGGUAGCUGGGUCCAG